rnacentral:lncRNA from 1 species
AAAUAAUCUUUACCAUUCAGUGAUAACAAGCAGUUUUUUUUACAUCUUAAUAUUUUAUGAUGUAUUUAAAUGAGUAGUUAUUGUUGCAAACUCCAUUAGAAAUUUGAAUUGAUAUCAGUUUUGAAAAAGGGAAACGGGGAUGUGAAAAAAAGGGGGGGGGUUAAAUUUUUCUCAUUUCAGAUUUCAUAAAUAAAAAAGAAAAUUUCUUCAAACAUUUUUUUGAGAGGAUUAAUAUUCAACAGCAUAGUGAUUUGCUCAAAGGCAAAAAAACCUUUUAAGUUCAUUAGACCACAUUCAUUCUGUGUCAGAAACCUAUGCUGUGUCAACUAUUUAAUUUUAGAUUUAAAAAGUUUGAAGAAGAAAUCUUUAAUUGAUUUGUAAAAUCUUGGCAUUUGUUUUGUGUAAAAAAAAACAUGUAAUGUCAAAAAUUUGAUCACAAUCCAAAUUCAGAGCUGUAUCAUGCUUGAAUGUUUUGUCC